rnacentral:rRNA from 1 species
UACGGAGGGGGCGAGCGUUAUUCGGAAUUAUUGGGCGUAAAGGGCGCGUAGGCGGCUGAACAAGUCAAAGGUGAAAUCCCUCGGCUUAACCGGGGAACUGCGUCCGAUACUGGAUGGCUUGAGUUUGGGAGAGGGAUGCGGAAUUCCAGGUGUAGCGGUGAAAUGCGUAGAUAUCUGGAGGAACACCGGUGGCGAAGGCGGCAUCCUGGACCAACACUGACACUGAGGAGCGAAAGCCAGGGGAGCAAACGGG